GUGCAGCAGUCGAGAAACCUCCGCAAUGCGGGAAACCGCGACGGGGGACCCCGAGUGCCGUGGCAACGCCACGGCUUUUCCGGAGUGUAAAAAGCUCCGGGAAUAAGGGCUGGGCAAGGCCGGUGGCAGCCGCCGCGGUAAUACCGGCGGCCCGAGUGGUGGCCGCUAUUAUUGGGCCUAAAGCGUCCGUAGCCGGGCCCGUAAGUCCCUGGCGAAAUCCCACGGCUCAACCGUGGGGCUUGCUGGGGAUACUGCGGGUCUUGGGACCGGGAGAGGCGGGGGGUACCCCUGGGGUAGGGGUGAAAUCCUAUAAUCCCAGGGGGACCGCCAGUGGCGAAGGCGCCCCGCUGGAACGGGUCCGACGGUGAGGGACGAAGGCCAGGGGAGCAAACCGGAUUAGAUACCCCCGU
rnacentral:rRNA from 1 species